rnacentral:sRNA from 1 species
CCCAUGGCUUUCGCCAUGGGCCACAUUCUGUCGCCGCUGCGCGGCU